UACGUAGGGGGCGAGCGUUGUUCGGAAUCACUGGGCUUAAAGCGUGCGCAGGCGGACUAACAAGUCAGAAGUGAAAUCCCCGGGCUCAACCCGGGAACUGCUUUUGAAACUGUUAGUCUAGAAUCCGGGAGAGGUCAGUAGAAUUCCCAGUGUAGAGGUGAAAUUCGCAGAGAUUGGGAGGAAUACCAGUGGCGUAGGCGACUGACUGGACCGGUAUUGACGCUCAUGUACGAAAGCAUGGGGGGCAAACAGG
rnacentral:misc_RNA from 1 species